rnacentral:tRNA from 1 species
GACAUUGUAGUAUAGUGGAAAGAACUUUGGCUCUAAAGCCAGUGAGACCUGGGUUCAAAUCCCAGCUAUGCG